rnacentral:rRNA from 1 species
GAUUGAACGCUGGCGGCAGGCCUAACACAUGCAAGUCGAGCGGUAGCACAGAGAGCUUGCUCUCGGGUGACGAGCGGCGGACGGGUGAGUAAUGUCUGGGAAACUGCCUGAUGGAGGGGGAUAACUACUGGAAACGGUAGCUAAUACCGCAUAAUGUCGCAAGACCAAAGUGGGGGACCUUCGGGCCUCAUGCCAUCAGAUGUGCCCAGAUGGGAUUAGCUAGUAGGUGGGGUAACGGCUCACCUAGGCGACGAUCCCUAGCUGGUCUGAGAGGAUGACCAGCCACACUGGAACUGAGACACGGUCCAGACUCCUACGGGAGGCAGCAGUGGGGAAUAUUGCACAAUGGGCGCAAGCCUGAUGCAGCCAUGCCGCGUGUGUGAAGAAGGCCUUCGGGUUGUAAAGCACUUUCAGCGGGGAGGAAGGCGGUGAGGUUAAUAACCUCAUCGAUUGACGUUACCCGCAGAAGAAGCACCGGCUAACUCCGUGCCAGCAGCCGCGGUAAUACGGAGGGUGCAAGCGUUAAUCGGAAUUACUGGGCGUAAAGCGCACGCAGGCGGUCUGUCAAGUCGGAUGUGAAAUCCCCGGGCUUAACCUGGGAACUGCAUUCGAAACUGGCAGGCUAGAGUCUUGUAGAGGGGGGUAGAAUUCCAGGUGUAGCGGCGAAAUGCGUAGAGAUCUGGAGGAAUACCGGUGGCGAAGGCGGCCCCCUGGACAAAGACUGACGCUCAGGUGCAAAAGCGUGGGGAGCAAACAGGAUUAGAUACCCUGGUAGUCCACGCCGUAAACGAUGUCGAUUUGGAGGUUGUGCCCUUGAGGCGUGGCUUCCGGAGCUAACGCGUUAAAUCGACCGCCUGGGGAGUACGGCCGCAAGGUUAAAACUCAAAUGAAUUGACGGGGGCCCGCACAAGCGGUGGAGCAUGUGGUUUAAUUCGAUGCAACGCGAAGAACCUUACCUGGUCUUGACAUCCACAGAACUUUCCAGAGAUGGAUUGGUGCCUUCGGGAACUGUGAGACAGGUGCUGCAUGGCUGUCGUCAGCUCGUGUUGUGAAAUGUUGGGUUAAGUCCCGCAACGAGCGCAACCCUUAUCCUUUGUUGCCAGCGGUCCGGCCGGGAACUCAAAGGAGACUGCCAGUGAUAAACUGGAGGAAGGUGGGGAUGACGUCAAGUCAUCAUGGCCCUUACGACCAGGGCUACACACGUGCUACAAUGGCAUAUACAAAGAGAAGCGACCUCGCGAGAGCAAGCGGACCUCAUAAAGUAUGUCGUAGUCCGGAUUGGAGUCUGCAACUCGACUCCAUGAAGUCGGAAUCGCUAGUAAUCGUAGAUCAGAAUGCUACGGUGAAUACGUUCCCGGGCCUUGUACACACCGCCCGUCACACCAUGGGAGUGGGUUGCAAAAGAAGUAGGUAGCUUAACCUUCGGGAGGGCGCUUACCACUUUGUGAUUCAUGACUGGGGUGAAGUCGUAACAAGG